UACGAAGGGGGCUAGCGUUACUCGGAAUUACUGGGCGUAAAGGGCGCGUAGGCGGCGUUCCAAGUUAGGCGUGAAAGUCCUGGGCUCAACCUGGGAACUGCGCUUAAGACUGGAAUGCUAGAGGAUGGAAGAGGGUUGUGGAAUUCCCAGUGUAGAGGUGAAAUUCGUAGAUAUUGGGAAGAACACCGGUGGCGAAGGCGGCAACCUGGUCCAUUUCUGACGCUGAGGCGCGAUAGCGUGGGGAGCAAACAGG
rnacentral:rRNA from 1 species